AGGCAAUUACCACUGACUCCUUUAUAAAUAACCACAGGAGCAGUGUGCAAUGGCUGCAAACAGCAAUCUCCUUGGUAGUGUAUGCAGCCUGUUGUUUAUAUGGGUUGCCCUAAGGGACCUUGGAGACAGCA